rnacentral:rRNA from 1 species
GAUGAACGCUGGCGGCGUGCCUAAUACAUGCAAGUCGAGCGAAUGGAUUAAGAGCUUGCUCUUAUGAAGUUAGCGGCGGACGGGUGAGUAACACGUGGGUAACCUGCCCAUAAGCCUGGGAAAACUCCGGGAAACCGGGGCUAAUACCGGAUAACAUUUUGAACCGCAAGGUUCGAAAUUGAAAGGCGGCUUCGGCCGUCACGUAUGGAUCGAGCCGCGUCGCACUAGCUAGUUGGUGAGGUAACGGCUCACCAAGGCAACGAUGCGUAGCCGACCUGAGAGGGUGAUCGGCCACACUGGGACUGAGACACGGCCCAGACUCCUACGGGAGGCAGCAGUAGGGAAUCUUCCGCAAUGGACGAAAGUCUGACGGAGCAACGCCGCGUGAGUGAUGAAGGCUUUCGGGUCGUAAAACUCUGUUGUUAGGGAAGAACAAGUGCUAGUUGAAUAAGCUGGCACCUUGACGGUACCUAACCAGAAAGCCACGGCUAACUACGUGCCAGCCGCCGCCGUAA